GAAUAGCAAACAAAUUUAUUUUCUCUUUACAAAUGAAUUUUAGCCUAAAUAAGUAACAUAUCUUUAACUUUUGAAAGACAAGAUUUUGUUCUAAAGGUUUGCUGAAGAGCCAAUGACGUCAAUAUCGAUAAACGCAAAACGCACCCCGGAGCGCUAUUGUAAGGAUCUUUCUCUCCGCUGAUACCCGGCCGGAGCGCGGCUGGACCCGAACUGCCUCCCUGAGGAACUCCUGCUGGAAUGGUUUGAGUGCGCAGAGCGCAGCAGAGGUUAGAGUAGCAGAUAAAAAGGGGAAUGAGGGUGCCGAGCGCGCGGUUUUUAGAAAAACCAGUGUAUUUACACGCUUCAUCUCGUCUCCAAGUCCUCAUUAGGUUGUUAACCUCUUGUUCACAUGAAAAGCUGCCGCGCCGCGCAGGACCCUUGAGCGCAGCAAUGGCAUUCCCCUAAAGGCACAGAACAAAGCGCUUAAAAUAACUGCGUUAAAAUAAGCUUUUAUUGGCUUACUCGGGAUGGACGCUUGAUGAGGUUUGCUAUUUAUUUAAAAAUAUAUUUUUCAUAAUUGUUUAUUUAGCCUAUAAGUAUUAAUUUUGUAAUUAUUCCAUUUAUUUGUCCGUGAACGUUUUUAAUCCAUGCAAUUAACCAAAUAACCAGGCCUAGGUAUAUCAUUUGGUGGGAAAUAGUUCCUAUAGAGGAUAUUACAAAACAAGUUUAUUUAAUCUGCGUAAAAGACAAAAUGAAACGGAGCUGUCUACUUAAUUUCAAAUCUUAAUGCAAUCUGUUGGUGGGUAAAUACUAUUUAGCCUAUAAUAUUCUGGUCUUUUCUUUUUCUUCAUACACUCUAAAAAAAAUGCUGGGUUAAAAACAACCCAAUUUGAAAAUGGACAAACCCAGCGAUUGGACUGUUUUAACCCAGUGGUUGGGUUAAAUGUUUGCCCAACCUGCUGCACUGUAAAAAAAAAAAAAAAAAAAGGGAUUGUUGGUUUAACGUAAAAAUGUAAGUUACCUGGUUGCCUUAACAAAUUUGAGUUAAUACAAUGAAGGCGAUUGGUUUAAUCAACAGAAACUCAAAAUUAUCUAAACUACAUUAAUAAUUGAAGUUGAUUUGGGUAGUUUUAUUUAACUCAACCAUUGUUUAAAAAUAACUGUUUGCUUAAAAUGAACCCAAAAUAGGUUGGAAAUUAACAUUUAUUAAUAUGUUUAAUAAAUAAACAUUUACUAAUAAGUUUAAUUAACAAUAAUUAAACAAAAUUUAUUAAAUGAUUUUGUUUCCAAUGUUUUGGGGACAUUUUAAGCCAGUCAUAUAGUAAUUUUACAACAAUAGUUGGGUUCAAUAAAACUGCCCAGCACGUUGGGCAAACAUUUAACCCAACCACUGGGUUAAAACAACCCAAUCGCUGGGUUUGUCCAUUUUCAACCCAACUUGGGUUUUUUAACCCAGGAUUUUUUUUUUAGAGUGUAAGAUGAGAAAUAACUUUAUCAAGGCGUCCUAAUGUAACACGCCAUUUUAAAAAUAAUAAAAAAAACAACAUAUUACUGUAAUCUUGCUGUAGCCUAUAGACGCACUUCCACUUUUUACACCAAGGAUGCACAAACGCCGAUCAUGACAGAUGAAAUGAUGCGAGUGUGUGUUCAGGCAGCAGCCAAUUAAAAUGCGGCCUCCAUCCCUCCACAUCUGCCUCCCUUUACAAACGAAUCAAACAGAAAAGCAGGAACCCAGUGAAAGAGCGCUCAUUGAGAUCACAGAUGGAGUAUAGGUUUUUGCAAGAAAUUUGAGAAACACCAUUGUCCCAAAUCCAAACUCAAUGUGGUCCCUCACAAUGGUUCGGGCUUUGAGCUGCGCCGACUCAAUUGGCCUUGUUUUUUAAACUUGAAGUGUUGAGCACAAAGACCGGCCUCCUAAAUGUCACAACCGCUCCAAGUGGGGCUCUGCAGCGCGAUGCUGUCUAAAAAAAGGAAAAAGAACACAAUUAUGAAGCAAUAAUUACUCUGCUUCUCUUCGCACGCCACUGCGUCUAUUCAGACCCCUUUAGCCCCAUUUAAUGCUUUAUCCUCGUCCACGAUAAUCCGAAUACCACAGCUUUAUUAUUUUUUCUUCUCCCUUGCAGAAUUUUCUUAUGAGACGGGAGUGGGAAACGGGGCUUGUGCUAACCUGGACAAUGGCCGUGUCAACUUACUUUCUGGACAACUUUUUAAUAUCGAAAGAUUAAUGCUCAGUGUCACCGCGGCAAGCUGCUGAACACUACGUGAAAUAUUUAAUAAAGGCACCCGUUUUACCUUUUCUGCAAGUAGGCCUAGAAAACUAUUAUUUGGCACAGUUCAUUUUACUCACAGAAAUAAAUUAAUCAAGUAGUGUCUUAAUUUAAAUUGUGAAAAGUGAAAAUUCUGAUAGGCUAUCGCAUUUUUUUUAGACCACGUGUCAAAUCUGGUGAAUGCUGACAAUGUCGUCAACGACAACACCACCGAUAAACAAAUACAUCAAUUUUGAAUAUGCCUAUUGAUAUUAUUAAUACAGCUCUGGUAAAAGUAUAAAACACAUCUUUGACAUCUUUAUUCAAUGCAAAAAAAAAAAACAAAAAAAAAAAAAGUAAAA